rnacentral:rRNA from 1 species
UGGCUAGGACGAACGCUGGCGGCGUGCCUAAUACAUGCAAGUCAACGGCUUUCUAUGGAAGCUUGCUUCCACUGAGAAGAUAGUGGCGAACGGGUGAGUAACACGUGGGUAACCUGCCCAUAAGAGGGGGAUAACAUCCGGAAACGGGUGCUAAUACCGCAUAGUUUUCUUGAUCGCAUGAUCGGGAAAGGAAAGACGGCCUUUGUGCUGUCGCUUAUGGAUGGACCCGCGGCGUAUUAGUUAGUUGGUGAGGUAACGGCUCACCAAGACGAUGAUACGUAGCCGACCUGAGAGGGUGAUCGGCCACAUUGGGACUGAGACACGGCCCAAACUCCUACGGGAGGCAGCAGUAGGGAAUCUUCCGCAAUGGACGAAAGUCUGACGGAGCAACGCCGCGUGAGUGAAGAAAGGUUUUCGGAUCGUAAAACUCUGUUGUCAGAGAAGAACAAGUUGGAGAGUAACUGCUCCAGCCUUGACGGUAUCUGACCAGAAAGCCACGGCUAACUACGUGCCAGCAGCCGC